rnacentral:rRNA from 2 species
GCAUUAUACCGCGAAACUGCGAAUGGCUCAUUAAAUCAGUUAUCGUUUAUUUGAUAGUACCUUACUACUUGGAUAACCGUGGUAAUUCUAGAGCUAAUACAUGCUAAAAAUCCCGACUUACGAAGGGAUGUAUUUAUUAGAUUAAAAACCAAUGCCCUUCGGGGCUCUUUGGUGAUUCAUAAUAACUUCUCGAAUCGCAUGGCCUUGUGCCGGCGAUGGUUCAUUCAAAUUUCUGCCCUAUCAACUUUCGAUGGCAGGGUCUUGGCCUGCCAUGGUUACAACGGGUAACGGAGGGUUAGGGCUCGACCCCGGAGAAGGAGCCUGAGAAACGGCUACUACAUCCAAGGAAGGCAGCAGGCGCGCAAAUUACCCAAUCCCGAUUCGGGGAGGCAAGUAAACCCCUUUCUUCGACCAUGUAAACAAAAGAAACUCAUGCUAACAUAUUUCCGCUUUAUAGGUAGUGACAAUAAAUACUGAUACAGGGCUCUUUCGGGUCUUGUAAUUGGAAUGAGUACAAUUUAAAUCCCUUAACGAGGAACAAUUGGAGGGCAAGUCUGGUGCCAGCAGCCGCGGUAAUUCCAGCUCCAAUAGCGUAUAUUAAAGUUGUUGCAGUUAAAAAGCUCGUAGUUGAACCUUGGGCCUGGCUGGCCGGUCCGCCUCACCGCGUGCACUGGUUCGGCCGGGCCUUUCCCUCUGGGGAUCCCCAUGCCCUUCACUGGGUGUGGCGGGGAACCAGGACUUUUACUGUGAAAAAAUUAGAGUGUUCAAAGCAGGCCUAUGCUCGAAUACAUUAGCAUGGAAUAAUAAAAUAGGACGUGCGGUUCUAUUUUGUUGGUUUCUAGGACCGCCGUAAUGAUUAAUAGGGACAGUCGGGGGCAUCAGUAUUCAAUUGUCAGAGGUGAAAUUCUUGGAUUUAUUGAAGACUAACUACUGCGAAAGCAUUUGCCAAGGAUGUUUUCAUUAAUCAGGAACGAAAGUUAGGGGAUCGAAGACGAUCAGAUACCGUCGUAGUCUUAACCAUAAACUAUGCCGACUAGGGAUCGGAACGAUGUUAUUUAUUGACUCGUUCGGCACCUUACGAGAAAUCAAAGUCU